AGGAGCCAAUCGGAAAUGUUAGGGUCGGUUCGGUGCAGCUGGGCCAGGUUCGGGCGCGGAACGGAGCAUCGCCGUGGUCCCGAUCCUCUAUCGUCACCAUGCCGGCCGUUUCCAAGGGAGACGGGAUGCGGGGCCUGGCCGUAUUUAUCUCCGAUAUCCGAAACUGUAAGAGUAAAGAGGCUGAAAUUAAACGAAUUAACAAGGAGUUGGCCAAUAUCCGAUCCAAAUUUAAGGGAGAUAAAGCCUUGGAUGGUUACAGCAAGAAGAAAUAUGUCUGCAAGCUGCUUUUCAUCUUCCUGUUGGGCCAUGACAUCGACUUUGGGCACAUGGAGGCAGUCAACUUGCUCAGCUCCAACAAAUAUACAGAAAAACAAAUUGGCUACCUGUUCAUUUCAGUGCUGGUAAACUCCAACAGUGAGUUGAUCCGUCUCAUCAACAAUGCUAUCAAGAAUGACCUGGCAAGUCGCAAUCCUACCUUCAUGUGCCUGGCCCUACAUUGCAUUGCCAAUGUCGGCAGCCGUGAGAUGGCAGAGGCCUUUGCUUCCGAGAUCCCCCGAAUCCUGGUGGCUGGAGAUACUAUGGACAGUGUGAAGCAGAGUGCUGCUCUCUGCCUCUUGCGCCUCUACAAGACCUCACCUGAUUUGGUGCCCAUGGGAGAGUGGACAUCACGUGUGGUGCAUCUUCUGAAUGACCAGCACAUGGGUGUGGUCACAGCUGCUGUCAGCCUUAUUGCUUGCCUCUGCAAAAAAAAUCCUGAUGACUUCAAGACAUGUGUCUCUUUGGCAGUAUCCAGGCUCAGUAGGAUUGUCUCUUCAGCCUCCACAGACCUCCAGGACUACACCUAUUACUUUGUGCCAGCCCCUUGGCUCUCAGUCAAGCUUCUGCGGCUGCUGCAGUGUUACCCUCCCCCAGAAGAUGCAGCUGUGAAAGGACGCCUGGUUGAAUGCUUGGAGACUAUUCUCAACAAGGCUCAGGAACCCCCCAAGUCCAAGAAAGUCCAGCACUCCAAUGCCAAGAAUGCUAUCCUUUUUGAAGCCAUCAGUCUCAUCAUCCAUUAUGACAGUGAACCCAACCUACUGGUACGUGCAUGCAAUCAACUAGGGCAGUUCCUGCAGCAUCGAGAGACCAACCUUAGAUAUCUAGCCUUGGAGAGCAUGUGUACCCUAGCCAGCUCUGAAUUCUCACAUGAAGCUGUCAAGACCCACAUUGAAACAGUCAUCAAUGCUCUAAAGACGGAACGGGAUGUAAGCGUACGCCAGCGAGCUGCCGACCUUCUCUAUGCCAUGUGUGAUCGUACAAAUGCCAAGCAAAUAGUCUCAGAGAUGCUUAGCUAUCUGGAAACAGCAGAUUACUCAAUUCGUGAAGAGAUUGUACUGAAGGUGGCCAUCUUAGCUGAGAAAUAUGCAGUAGACUAUAGUUGGUAUGUGGAUACCAUUCUCAAUCUGAUCCGCAUUGCUGGUGACUACGUGAGUGAGGAGGUGUGGUACCGUGUCAUCCAGAUUGUCAUUAACCGGGAUGAUGUGCAAGGUUAUGCAGCCAAGACAGUCUUUGAGGCUCUUCAGGCACCUGCUUGUCAUGAGAACAUGGUGAAAGUUGGAGGCUACAUCCUUGGGGAAUUUGGGAAUCUCAUUGCUGGGGAUCCCCGUUCCAGCCCUCUGGUUCAGUUCAACCUUCUCCAUUCCAAAUUCCACCUCUGCAGUGUUUCCACUCGGGCCCUACUUCUCUCUACCUACAUCAAAUUCAUAAAUCUCUUUCCUGAAACAAAGGGCACCAUCCAGGAAGUGCUGCGUUCAGACAGCCAGAUCCGCAACGCUGAUGUGGAACUGCAGCAACGUGCCGUUGAAUACCUCAAGCUCAGUUCUAUUGCCAGCACCGAUGUCCUGGCUACAGUACUGGAGGAGAUGCCACCAUUCCCUGAACGUGAAUCUUCCAUUUUGGCAAAACUGAAGAAAAAAAAGGGUCCUGGGGCUGGCAGUGAGUUAGAAGAUGGCAAGAAGGAUCCAAAUUCUGAAAUUAAUGGAGGCAUGGAGCCUUCAGCCAGCACUGCUUCAACACCAUCCCCAUCUGCUGACUUGUUAGGUCUCCGAGCUACACCAGCAACUGCAUCUGGUGUCCCUGCCAGCACUGGCAACCUUCUAGUGGAUGUUUUCUCUGACAGCCCAUCUACCACAGCUGGCCUGGCCUCUGGUGCAGAAGAUAAUUUUCUAAGGUUUGUGUGUAAGAAUAAUGGGGUGCUUUUUGAGAACCAACUGCUGCAAAUUGGGGUGAAGUCAGAAUUCCGGCAGAACUUAGGCCGAAUGUACCUUUUCUAUGGGAAUAAAACAUCCGUCCAGUUCCAGAGUUUCACCCCAACAGUCAGCUAUCCUGGUGACCUGCAGAACCAGCUCAACAUUCAGACGAAAGCAGUGGAACCACUGGUGGAGGGAGGGGCUCAAGUUCAACAGGUCUUGAACAUUGAAUGCCUGAGCGAUUUCACAGAGGCCCCCCUUAUCAACAUCAAAUUCCGCUAUGGCGGGACGUUGCAGAAUCUCACUCUCAAAUUGCCUAUCACUGUCAAUAAGUUUUUCCAGGCAACAGAGAUGCAGUCGCAAGACUUUUUCCAGCGCUGGAAACAACUCAGCUUGCCACAACAGGAAGCUCAGAAAAUCUUCAAGGCAAACCACCCCAUGGAUUCAGAAGUGACAAAAGCAAAACUGUUAGGUUUUGGCAGUGCACUCCUGGAGAAGGUGGAUCCAAACCCUGAUAACUACGUAGGAGCUGGGAUCAUCCAGACAAAAGCACUGCAGGUUGGAUGCUUGCUGCGACUGGAACCCAAUGCUCAGGCACAGAUGUACCGGCUGACCCUUCGUACCAGUAAGGAGUCUGUUUCAAAGCACCUUUGUGAGCUGCUUUCCCAGCAGUUCUGAGGCAUCUGCCACACCAUAGGAAGGGGAGGCCAUUCCUGCACACUAGAUGCCUCUGUACAUCUCAUCCCAACACUCUCCAAACCAGGGGCCUCCAGAAAGACUGUACUGCUCCCUGCCUGUUGUUGUGAUAACCUCUGUGUUCUCCUUGCCUAGCCCGGGCCAGCAUCAAGCGGGAUAAGCAAAGGGGGAGCAAAAGUAUGGGACCCUUGGUUAGACAAAAUCAGACUGGGUUAGGGGAGGGAUGAUGGGUUUUGGUGCAGGGCAUUCUUUCAGUAGUAAUCAUCCCUUGGGCAAAAGGGCAAAUUUUGGAAGAAAGCUAGCUUUCGUCCCAUGCAGUGAACUGGUCCAUCUCAUUUUGGGAUGAGGCUGGAAUCUGUGGUCUUAAUUCUUCACCCAUUACCACUACUUUUAUAUGAUUUUAAGCUGGCAUUUUAGUUUUGUUUACAAUAUGUACCUUUAUUUUCUCACCAUGGAUUUUCUCCUUUCUGUUGAGGAAAGGGAUAGCUUCUCUGGCUCCCCUUGAGCUGGCUGAGGGGAAGGAAUAGGAUUGUGUGGGUCUUUGGGGAGGAGGGGAUAUUCUUGUAGGCAGUCGUUUUGUGUUUCUUUGCCUUGUGUGUUUUCCCCAGCGAUGGGGAUGUAAAUUCUCCUUUUCCUUUGAUAUGAUCAUUCCAGUGUUACAGUUACGUGUAUUUGUGGGAACGUAAUUUUGACAGCAACUGCCUCUUUCUUCAGCUCUAGAAGGAAACUACAUGAAGAUGAGAGGGAAAGAGACAAUUUCUUUCCUCUUCUGCCUCCCCUCACCAUCUUUUCAAUUCCCAGGAAGGAGUGCCUCAAGCAGCCUAAUCAUCAUUUGCACAGAGAAAAUUUCAUUACAACAUUUGAAUGAAAAUAUGUCACUCUAACCAUACUGAGGGGCUCUAGCUCACCACUCCAAAUUUCAUCAUCGAGUUCAACAAGAUAAGUCAAAAGGCCGAAUCUUCAGCUGUGAGAGCCUGUAGUGUGCAGGUUGCUAAGGAUCGUAAAGCAAAGGUAGGUACAUCUGACUUCACGAUUAAGAAGAGCUGGUGCUGCCUCUCAUGGAUAACAUAGGCUUUGUGCGUAGUGUAGACCAUAUAACAGUGCUGAGGACAAUGGGAAAACCCAGCAUGAAAGUCCUCCUGCAGAGGGACUGGAGAAAAGAAAAU